rnacentral:rRNA from 1 species
GUAGGGGGCGAGCGUUAUCCGGAUUCACUGGGCGUAAAGGGCACGCAGGCGGUUACGUAAGUCCGGCGUGAAAUCCCACGGCUCAACUGUGGAACUGCGUCGGAUACUGCGUUGACUUGAGGAUGGUAGAGGCCAUUAGAACUAGCGGUGUAGCGGUGAAAUGCGCAGAUAUCGCUAGGAAUGCCGGUGGCGAAGGCGGAUGGCUGGGCCACUCCUGACGCUGAGGCGCGAAAGCUAGGGGAGCGAACCGGAUUAGAUACCCGGGUAGUCCUAGCCGUAAACGGUGGGUGCUAGGUGUGGGGGUCGCAAGACUUCCGUGCCGCAGCUAACGCAUUAAGCACCCCGCCUGGGGAGUCCGGCCGCAAGGCUA